UUGUAAGUUUUUAAGGGCGCAUGGUGGAUGCCUUGGCAUUAGGAGCCGAAGAAGGACGUAGGAAUCUGCGAUAAGCCUCGGGGAGUUGAUAACCGAACUUUGAUCCGAGGAUGUCCGAAUGGGGAAACCCCGCUGCCUGUUAUGGGUAGUGACCCGCAGCUGAACACAUAGGCUGUGUGGAGGGAACGUGGGGAAGUGAAACAUCUCAGUACCCACAGGAAGAGAAAACAAUAGUGAUUCCGUCAGUAGUGGCGAGCGAACGCGGAUCAGGCUAAACCGUGUCUGUGUGAUACCCGGUAGGGGUUGCAGGUACGGGGUUGUGGGACGCAUUGUCCUGGUUCUACCGGACUAGGGGGGUGAGUGCACGAGUAUAGGUGAACGGUUUUGAAUGGCCGGCCAUAGAGGGUGGGAGCCCCGUAACUGAAAUAUUUUGUGCCGCUCUAUAUGUGUUUCCCAAGUAACACGGGGCCCGAGAAAUCCCGUGUGAAUCUGUCAGGACCACCUGAUAAGCCUAAAUACUUCCUAAUGACCGAUAGCGGACUAGUACCGUGAGGGAAAGGUGAAAAGUACCCCGGGAGGGGAGUGAAAUAGUACCUGAAACCAUGUGCUUACAAACCGUCAGAGCUAGCUUGUUCUAGUGAUGGCGUGCCUUUUGAAGAAUGAGCCUGCGAGUUAGUGCUCAGUGGCGAGGUUAACCCGUGUGGGGCAGCCGUAGCGAAAGCGAGUCUGAAUAGGGCGUAUGAGUCGCUGGGUCUAGACCCGAAGCGGAGUGAUCUACCCAUGGCCAGGUUGAAGCGACGGUAAGACGUCGUGGAGGACCGAACCCACUUCAGUUGAAAAUGGAGGGGAUGAGCUGUGGGUAGGGGUGAAAGGCCAAUCAAACUCCGUGAUAGCUGGUUCUCCCCGAAAUGCAUUUAGGUGCAGCGUUACGUGUUUCUUACUGGAGGUAGAGCUACUGGAUGGCUAAUGGGCCCUACAAGGUUACUGACGUCAGCCAAACUCCGAAUGCCGGUAAGUGAGAGCGUAGCAGUGAGACUGUGGGGGAUAAGCUUCAUAGUCGAGAGGGAAACAGCCCAGACCACCAACUAAGGCCCCUAAGCGUGUGCUAAGUGGGAAAGGAUGUGGGAUUGCUUAGACAACCAGGAGGUUGGCUUAGAAGCAGCCACCCUUGAAAGAGUGCGUAAUAGCUCACUGGUCAAGUGAUUCCGCGCCGACAAUGUAGCGGGGCUCAAGUACACCGCCGAAGUUGUGGAUUUCAGAUAGUGACAAGCCUUCGUGGUUCAGUCGUCUGGAGUGGUAGGGGAGCGUCGUGUGGGCAGUGAAGUCGCGGUGUAAACCAGCGGUGGAGCCUACACGAGUGAGAAUGCAGGCAUGAGUAGCGAAUGACGGGUGAGAAACCCGUCCGCCGAAUGAUCAAGGGUUCCAGGGUCAAGCUAAUCUGCCCUGGGUAAGUCGGGACCUAAGGCGAGGCCGACAGGCGUAGUCGAUGGACAACGGGUUGAUAUUCCCGUACCGGCGAAAAACCGCCCAAGCUAAUCCAGUGAUGUUCGAUGCCCGAGCCCGGGCCUGUUACACCCUUCGGGGUGUUUGGUUUCGGGGGAGCGUGUUGUUCUUUGAUCUGGUGCGGUUAGCGUAUUAACAGGUGUGACGCAGGAAGGUAGCCGAGCCGGGCGAUGGUUGUCCCGGUCUAAGCAGGUAGGCCGUUUCCUAGGCAAAUCCGGGAAACAUGAAGGCUGAGACGUGAUGGGACCCCCGUAGGGGGGAAUUCGGUGAUCCUAUGCUGCCAAGAAAAGCAUCGACGUGAGGUUUUAGCCGCCCGUACCCCAAACCGACACAGGUGAUCAGGUAGAGAAUACUAAGGCGAUCGAGAGAAUUAUGGUUAAGGAACUCGGCAAAAUGCCCCCGUAACUUCGGGAGAAGGGGGGCCCGGACUGUGAUGAGAAUUUACUUCUCGGAGCGGGCAAGGGCCGCAGAGACCAGGGGGAAGCGACUGUUUACUAAAAACACAGGUCCGUGCGAAGUCGCAAGACGAUGUAUACGGACUGACUCCUGCCCGGUGCUGGAAGGUUAAGAGGACCGGUUAGCAAUUUAUUGCGAAGCUGAGAAUUUAAGCCCCAGUAAACGGCGGUGGUAACUAUAACCAUCCUAAGGUAGCGAAAUUCCUUGUCGGGUAAGUUCCGACCUGCACGAAUGGAGUAACGACUUCCCCGCUGUCUCAACCAUAAACUCGGCGAAAUUGCAGUACGAGUAAAGAUGCUCGUUACGCGCAGCAGGACGGAAAGACCCCGAGACCUUUACUAUAGUUUGGUAUUGGUGUUCUAAGUGGUUUGUGUAGGAUAGGUGGGAGACUUUGAAGCCAUGACGCCAGUUAUGGUGGAGUCAUCGUUGAAAUACCACUCUGAUCACUUGGGAUUCCUAACUUCGGCCCGUAAUCCGGGUCAGGGACAGUGCCUGAUGGGUAGUUUAACUGGGGCGGUUGCCUCCUAAAAAGUAACGGAGGCGCCCAAAGGUUCCCUCAGCCUGGUUGGCAAUCAGGUUUCGAGUGUAAGUGCACAAGGGAGCUUGACUGUGAGAGAGACAUCUCGAGCAGGGACGAAAGUCGGGACUAGUGAUCCGGCGGCACAUUGUGGAAUGGCCGUCGCUCAACGGAUAAAAGGUACCUCGGGGAUAACAGGCUGAUCUUGCCCAAGAGUCCAUAUCGACGGCAUGGUUUGGCACCUCGAUGUCGGCUCGUCGCAUCCUGGGGCUGGAGUAGGUCCCAAGGGUUGGGCUGUUCGCCCAUUAAAGCGGUACGCGAGCUGGGUUUAGAACGUCGUGAGACAGUUCGGUCCCUAUCCGCUGCGCGCGCAGGAAAUUUGAGAAGAGCUGUCCUUAGUACGAGAGGACCGGGACGGACGAACCUCUGGUAUGCCAGUUGUACCGCCAGGUGCAUGGCUGGUUAGCUACGUUCGGAAGGGAUAACCGCUGAAAGCAUCUAAGCGGGAAGCCCACUUCGAGAUGAGAUUUCCAUACACUUUAUGUGUGAGAGGCCCCCAGCUAGACCACUGGGUUGAUAGGCCGGAUGUGGAAGCGAGGACUAACGACUCGUGAAGCUGACCGGUACUAAUAGGCCGAUAACCUACAACA
rnacentral:rRNA from 1 species